AUGGGUUGUAGCUGGCCUUCCGAGGCAUGUGCACACCCUGCUCAUCCGCUCUACACCUGUGCACUUACUGUAGGUGACCUUUGGGAGGGCUGGCUUUGCUGGCUUUCCUUCGGGUUGCUUACGUUUCACUACAAACGCUUCAGUAUCAGAAUGUGUAUUGCGAUGUAACGCAUCUAUAUACAACUUUCAGCAACGGAUCUCUUGGCUCUCGCAUCGAUGAAGAACGCAGCGAAAUGCGAUAAGUAAUGUGAAUUGCAGAAUUCAGUGAAUCAUCGAAUCUUUGAACGCACCUUGCGCUCCUUGGUAUUCCGAGGAGCAUGCCUGUUUGAGUGUCAUGAAUCUCUCAACCUAUAAGUCCUUGUGACUUGUAGGAUUGGACUUGGAGGCUUGCUGGCGGGUUUAUGACUUUGUCGGCUCCUCUCAAAUGCAUUAGCUUGGUUCCUUGCGGAUCGGCUCUCAGUGUGAUAAUUGUCUACGCUGUGACCGUGAAGCGUUUGGCUAGCUUCUAACUGUCUCUCUAGAGACACUUAUAUCUGACCUCUGACCUCAAAUCAGGUAG
rnacentral:rRNA from 1 species